UACGAAGGGGGCUAGCGUUGUUCGGAUUUACUGGGCGUAAAGCGCACGUAGGCGGAUAUUUAAGUCAGGGGUGAAAUCCCGGGGCUCAACCCCGGAACUGCCUUUGAUACUGGGUAUCUCGAGUCCGGAAGAGGUGAGUGGAAUUCCGAGUGUAGAGGUGAAAUUCGUAGAUAUUCGGAGGAACACCAGUGGCGAAGGCGGCUCACUGGUCCGGUACUGACGCUGAGGUGCGAAAGCGUGGGGAGCAAACAGG
rnacentral:rRNA from 1 species